AAGUUGCCAAUGGCAACCGUUUGACAGUUCGUCUGCAGUGCAAAAGUAAAAAGUAAAAACCACAGAUUCACUGCUUCUAAUUAGUGAAAGAAAAAUGUAGCCCGAAUUGCUUUUUCCAAUCUACAUGGAAGUUAAAAAAAUUUGUACACUUCCACAUCAAGCAAUGAAAUAUGCCUUUCUGUUGAAGACAAAAUGCUAGCCAGUGAGAAGAAUGUUGACGUUAUUGUAAAAAGUUUCGGGAUCGUCAACAUACGGACCAGUUUCCGCCUACGGGUUCCAGGUUUAAAAAUAAAAACUAAUCUUCUCGACUUUCUCGUCCUACAGUUCCUGCAUAACGAGCAGAUUUUGGCAACUCUUGAUUAUUCUGAAAUCUUUGUACUAUGACCGACAUGGGCUGCAUAUAUAGUGGGUCGUUAUAUAAGACACCGUUAAAGUGGCAGCCGGGAAGAAAUUGGCAGUGGUUGAAAAACUUGGCGUGGAGGACUGUAAGAUGUGGUACUACUUGAGCAGCCAUGUCAACUUAAAUGGCUGCAUGCAAUUCGUCAAGACAAAAUUUGAAAAGGCCCUUUGUCAUGAGAAAAUGCAGCUUGAGGCAAGAAAUAUUGAAACAGGUUCCUUCCAGUCGACAAAAAAGCAUAAAGUAGGCUAACAUCGAAUCCUCUCAAGAUUUGAAUGAGUGAGUUGCUAGAAAAGCCCUUAAGACGGUCAUCUAAGUUGAGAGAGAAGAUGACAAGCCUGAUCUGUUUAUGAAUCAAAACAAAGGGAACAAAAUGGUAACUGAAAAAGUUACGGUAAACAAAUCAUGCGUUGCAGAUGGCGAUUUGACGUUACAAGUAUGUAGAAUCCAAAUCCAAAGAAGAGUCAGCUAAGAACUAUCUAUUACUGGUACACCAACUGUUAACGAAACUUAUUCCAUACACUUCAAGACUGCCAUUGUGGAGUGCGCAUAUGUUGACUUGCGAUUAAUGAUUCUGGUGGAUUCGUUACCAAGGAGGUGAACCCCCUCUCCCCCACCAAAUCUCAAUCUCUUUUACCAGCCAACGCCAUUUUCAAAUUGUGUAUGCACGGCCGACACAAGACAUAUGUCAACCAGGACCCGACGAGCUAUCCACUUUCGCUAAAACUAGGCAUCAGAGGACAGAGACACCAAAAAUGACUGUUCAUCCUAUGUUGUUGCAAUUGCCCACCAUUCCAAUUUCCAUUCGUCCUAUUUGAGCUAGGAUGCUUCUCUUCUGUCUGGCACAAGUUACCCUACGUGACCACAUUCUCCAGGAGAAGCGGAUUAAGAGCUGGAUCCUGGCCAAUCGUCACUCAUACUCA
rnacentral:lncRNA from 1 species